rnacentral:rRNA from 1 species
GAUGAACGCUGGCGGCGUGCCUAAUACAUGCAAGUCGAGCGAACGGACGAGAAGCUUGCUUCUCUGAUGUUAGCGGCGGACGGGUGAGUAACACGUGGAUAACCUACCUAUAAGACUGGGAUAACUUCGGGAAACCGGAGCUAAUACCGGAUAAUAUUUUGAACCGCAUGGUUCAAAAGUGAAAGACGGUCUUGCUGUCACUUAUAGAUGGAUCCGCGCUGCAUUAGCUAGUUGGUAAGGUAACGGCUUACCAAGGCAACGAUGCAUAGCCGACCUGAGAGGGUGAUCGGCCACACUGGAACUGAGACACGGUCCAGACUCCUACGGGAGCCAGCAGUAGGGAAUCUUCCGCAAUGGGCGAAAGCCUGACGGAGCAACGCCGCGGGAGUGAUGAAGGUCUUCGGAUCGUAAAACUCUGUUAUUAGGGAAGAACAUAUGUGUAAGUAACUGUGCACGUCUUGACGGUACCUAAUCAGAAAGCCACGGCUAACUACGUG